AACGCGAAGAACCUUACCUGGGUUUGACAUCCUUUGAAUACAGUAGAGAUAUUGUAGGCUCGCAAGAGACAAAGAGACAGGUGCUGCAUGGCUGUCGUCAGCUCGUGUUGUGAAAUGUUGGGUUAAGUCCCGCAACGAGCGCAACCCUUGUCUUUGGUUGCCAUCAUUAAGUUGGGCACUCCAAAGAGACUGCCGUCGUCAAGACGGAGGAAGGUGGGGAUGACGUCAAGUCCUCAUGGCCUUUAUAUCCAGGGCGACACACGUGAUACAAUGGUAGGUACAGAGGGCCGCAAAGUGGCAACACCAAGCAAAUCCCAAAAAGCCUAUCUCAGUUCGGAUUGGAGUCUGCAACUCGACUCCAUGAAGUUGGAAUCGCUAGUAAUCGCGGAUCAGCACGCCGCGGUGAAUACGUUCCCGGGCCUUGUACACACCGAGUAUA
rnacentral:rRNA from 1 species